rnacentral:rRNA from 1 species
AUUGAACGCUGGCGGCAGGCCUAACACAUGCAAGUCGAGCGAGCGGCGGACGGGUGAGUAAGGUCUGGGAAACUGCCUGAUGGAGGGGGAUAAGUGCUGGAAACGGUAGCUAAUAGCGCAUACCAUCAGAUGUGCCCAGAUGGGAUUAGCUAGUGGGUGGGGUAAUGGCUCACCUAGGCGACGAUCCCUAGCUGGUCUGAGAGGAUGACCGGCCACACUGGAACUGAGACACGGCCCAGACUCCUACGGGAGGCAGCAGUGGGGAAUCUUGGACAAUGGGCGAAAGCCUGAUGCAGCAAUGCCGCGUGAAUGAAGAAGGUCUUCGGGUUGUAAAGUACUUUCGGCGGGGAGGCGGUACCCGCAGAGGAAGCAACGGCUAACUACGUGCCAGCCGCCGCGGUAAUUC